AAAAAUAAUAACAUAUAUAUAUUAUUUCCUUGUAAUAGGUGAUACGUGGAAAAUUAAUUACAGGAAAUAGCACAGCGAAAAGCAGCAGCAUUCGUCUUUAAAUGGAUAUGGUCCCCCCUUCUCCGUCCCCCUCCCGGCUCUUCCUCUGCCCUGCGCAGACAGCCACCGCCCCUGCCCUCCCCGCAAACUCUUUUAUUAUCAGUUGAAUCACGUCUCGUGCCAAGCAAAAGGUCAUUUCAGGUCAUCCUGAAGAUGAAAGGACGGGGUAAUGUAUGUAAAGAGAGCCAGAGAUGCCGCCCAUUGCGAAAGUGCAUGUUCUGGAAACGUGCUGCAUCUGCGGAGCUUUGGGGAACCAGCUCUGCUGGGGCAGAAGAGGCGGAACUCAUCAGACUUAGAGCCUCCAACAGAAGGGGUUGGGGUCAGAGGGGUGGCUGGUCCAGUCACCCUCUUAAAGGGGAUUUAGAACCACCAGGGUAUGUGCGCAGUCUAUAUAGGGUGUUUCAGUAGCAAGCACAGACCUCUUUGUUUGGAGAUAAGAAAAGAAAAAAAAAAAAAAAACUCGCAUACAGUUGUUGUUGUUAUUGUUUUCCUACACUGUUUCCUGGGUAGGGAUAGCAUGGUUUUUUCUUUCUCUACUAAAAGAUAUGCCACUAUCUCCUUUGAGUUUGUAAUUCAAUGCCAUUUCAAUAAAGACAAUUGGCUCUC